GCCUGGCUGGCUCAGUUGGAAAAGCAUGAGACUCUUGAUCUUGGGGUUGUGAGUUCAAGCCCCACGUUGGGUG
rnacentral:tRNA from 1 species